rnacentral:rRNA from 1 species
CCUACGGGAGGCUGCAGUGAGGGAUAUUGGUCAAUGGGCGGAAGGCUGAACCAGCCAUGCCGCGUGAAGGUCAGUGCCCUAUGGGCGUUAAACUUCUUUUGUGCGGGAGCAAUAAUGGUCACGUGUGGCCAGACGAGAGUACCGUACGAAUAAGCAUCGGCUAACUCCGUGCCAUCCGCCGCGGUAAUACGGGGGAUGCAAGCGUUAUCCGGGGUUAGUGGGUUUAAAGGGUGCGUAGGCUGUGAGGGAAGUCAGCGGUGAAAUGCCCCCGCUCAACGGGGUGAAGUGCCAUUGAUACUGCCUUGCUGGAAUGCGGAUGCGGUGGGAGGAAUGUGUGGUGUAGCGGUGAAAUGCAUAGAUAUCACACAGAACACCGAUUGCGAAGGCAUCUCACGAAUCCGCGAUUGACGCUGAUGCACGAAAGCGUGGGUAUCAAACAGGAUUAGAUACCCCAGUAGUC